UGGGGAAUAUUGGACAAUGGGCGAAAGCCUGAUCCAGCCAUGCCGCGUGUGUGAAGAAGGUCUUCGGAUUGUAAAGCACUUUAAGUUGGGAGGAAGGGCAGUAAGUUAAUACCUUGCUGUUUUGACGUUACCAACAGAAUAAGCACCGGCUAACUUCGUGCCAGCAGCCGCGGUAUUACGAAGGGUGCAAGCGUUAAUCGGAAUUACUGGGCGUAAAGCGCGCGUAGGUGGUUCAGCAAGUUGGAUGUGAAAUCCCCGGGCUCAACCUGGGAACUGCAUCCAAAACUACUGAGCUAGAGUACGGAAGAGGGGGGUGGAAUUUCCUGUGUGGCGGUGAAAUGCGUAGAUAUAGGAAGGAACACCAGUGGCGAAGGGGACCACCUGGACUGAUACUGACACUGAGGUGCGAAAGCGGGGGGAGCAAACAGGAUUAGAUACCCUGGUAGUCCACGCCGUAAACGAUGUCGACUAGCCGUUGGGAUCCANUGAGAUCUUAGUGGNNGCAGUUAACNCGAUAAGUCGACCGCNUGGGGGNGUACGGCCGCAAGGUUA
rnacentral:rRNA from 1 species